GCGGCAUGCUUAACACAUGCAAGUCGAACGGCAGCACAGCAGAGCUUGCUCUGUGGGUGGCGAGUGGCGGACGGGUGAGUAAUGCAUCGGGACCUACCCAGACGUGGGGGAUAACGUAGGGAAACUUACGCUAAUACCGCAUACGUCCUACGGGAGAAAGCGGGGGACCUUCGGGCCUCGCGCGGUUGGAUGGACCGAUGUGCGAUUAGCUUGUUGGUGAGGUAACGGCUCACCAAGGCGACGAUCGCUAGCUGGUCUGAGAGGAUGAUCAGCCACACUGGGACUGAGACACGGCCCAGACUCCUACGGGAGGCAGCAGUGGGGAAUAUUGGACAAUGGGCGCAAGCCUGAUCCAGCAAUGCCGCGUGUGUGAAGAAGGCCUUCGGGUUGUAAAGCACUUUUAUCAGGAGCGAAAUCUGCAGGGCUAAUACCCAUGCAGUCUGACGGUACCUGAGGAAUAAGCACCGGCUAACUCCGUG
rnacentral:rRNA from 1 species